CACAGCCAGGAGCUCACACUGGUAUCUUAGCACCCUCUGCUUCCAGGACAAAGGCCAACACAGCUGCCCAGCAACCUAGCACACACUGGACAGUUCAACUGAAUUAUGAGAAGAGAGACAAGGGAGACAGGCGGAAGAAGCAGAAAGAUCCACACAGGACUGGGGAGGCCAGCCUUCAUUCGCCAGGCAAUGUACUCAGGCAGGGUCAGGGAGUCCUUGGUCUUGAGUGACAAUCAAUCUUCUGAGCCAGGCCCUUCCUAACACACACAGAAAAUGCAGGAGUCAGGCCUGGUUUGAAGAGUCCCACUACAAAGUCGAGGCUACUCUUAAACUAUGUAGCAGUUUGACCUUGAACUCACAGGAUCCUCCUGCUUCAGCCUCCUGAGUGUUGGAAUUACAGGCCUUCAUUUCUUUUUGUUCUAAAAAAAUAAAGAUGACCCUCAGGCUUCUUGGCUCCACAAAACAGAAGCAGCAGUGCACCACAAUGGGGGAAUUACAGUAUGCUGCCAGGGGGAGGGCCUGCCUCUUUCUCUGGAUUGAAGGAGCUCUGCUUCUCUGUGAACUCACCUUG